ensembl:lncRNA
GAGGUCCCUGGCAAUUCCCAGACAUACUACAGAGUGCACUACUUUUGACAAGAACCCUAUGGGUCCUAGUACACUAUAUAGGGAAUAGUGCCCUGUACACCACUGUGAACACAACAGUGAGGGUAGUGGUUUAGUAUAGGCCCCAGCAGGGUACAGGGUAGUGGUUUAGUAUAGGCCACAGCAGGGUACAGGGUAGUGGUUUAGUAUAGGCCCCAGCAGGGUACAAGGUAGUGGUUUAGUAUAGGCCCCAGCAGGGUACAGAGUGGUGGUUUAGUAUAGGCCACAGCAGGGUACAGAGUAGUGGUUUAGUAUAGGCCACAACAGGGUAGUGGUUUAGUAUAGGCCCCAGCAGGGUACAGGGUAGUGGUUUAGUAUAGGCCACAGCAGGGUACAGGGUAGUGGUUUAGUAUAGGCCACAGCAGGGUACAGGGUAGUGGUUUAGUAUAGGCCACAGCAGGGUACAGGGUAGUGGUUUAGUAUAGGCCACAGCAGGGUACAGGGUAGUGGUUUAGUAUAGGCCACAACAGGGUAGUGGUUUAGUAUAGGCCACAGCAGGGUACAGGGUAGUGGUUUAGUAUAGGCCCCAACAGGGUACAGGGUAGUGGUUUAGUAUAGGCCCCAACAGGGUACAUGGUAAUGGUUUAGUAUAGGCCACAGCAGGGUACAGGGUAGUGGUUCAGUAUAGGCCCCAACAGGGUACAGGGUAGUGGUUUAG